rnacentral:rRNA from 1 species
AUUGAACGCUGGCGGCAUGAUUUACACAUGCAAGUCGAACGGUAACAGGCCGCAAGGUGCUGACGAGUGGCGCACGGGUGAGUAAUGCAUCGGAACGUGCCCAGUCGUGGGGGAUAACUACUCGCAAGAGUAGCUAAUACCGCAUACGAUCUAUGGAUGAAAGCGGGGGACCGUAAGGCCUCGCGCGAUUGGAGCGGCCGCUGUUAGAUUAGGUAGUUGGUGGGGUAAAGGCUCACCAAGCCAACGAUCUGUAGCUGGUCUGAGAGGACGACCAGCCACACUGGAACUGAGACACGGCCCAGACUCCUACGGGAGGCAGCAGUGGGGAAUUUUGGACAAUGGGCGCAAGCCUGAUCCAGCAAUGCCGCGUGCAGGAAGAAGGCCUUCGGGUUGUAAACUGCUUUUGUACGGAACGAAACGGCUCUGGUUAAUACCCGGGGCUAAUGACGGUACCGUAAGAAUAAGCACCGGCUAACUACGUG